rnacentral:rRNA from 1 species
UACGAAGGGUGCAAGCGUUACUCGGAAUUACUGGACGUAAAGCGUGCGUAGGUGGUUCGUUAAGUCUGAUGUGAAAGCCCUGGGCUCAACCUGGGAAUGGCAUUGGAUACUGGCGAUCUAGAGUGCGGUAGAGGGCAGUGGAAUUCCCGGUGUAGCAGUGAAAUGCGUAGAGAUCGGGAGGAACAUCUGUGGCGAAGGCGACUGCCUGGACCAGCACUGACACUGAGGCACGAAAGCGUGGGGAGCAAACAGG